rnacentral:sRNA from 1 species
GCCUACAACACAGCAGUCCCCUCAGGAUGAGCAGGAAAAGCUCUUGGAUGAAGCCAUACAGGCUGUGAAGGUCCAGUCAUUCCAAAUGAAGAGAUGCCUGGACAAAAACAAGCUUAUGGAUGCUCUAAAACAUGCUUCUAAUAUGCUUGGUGAACUCCGGACUUCUAUGUUAUCACCAAAGAGCUACUAUGAACUUUGUAUCUUUUGAAUGUUGAAGACUAAACAUUUGGACCAGACCUUCUUGAUAAGGCCAAUUUUGUUUGUUCUUUAUGAAGUUUUUCUGGAGUUAUCUUAUUCUUCGUUAUCUGAGUCACAUGGCACUCCUUCUCCAUGCAGAUGUGCUAAGUGAGAAAAACACUUUGAGAGUACUCCUUUCCUAUGCUUAAACGUCCAUAAAUGUGUUGUCGGUGCAUCUCAAUUUUCAGACCCUUCAUGAGGAUAUUUAGGCUAUGACACAGUUGGUUCUUUAAUACUUAGAUUUUGUUAUGCAGCAGUCUCAAAUGGACAGGAAUUUAAU